UACACUCCUGCGGGAGGCAGCAGUGGGGAAUUUUGGACAAUGGGCGAAAGCCUGAUCCAGCAAUGCCGCGUGCAGGAUGAAGGCCUUCGGGUUGUAAACUGCUUUUGUACGGAACGAAAAAGCUCCUUCUAAUACAGGGGGCCCAUGACGGUACCGUAAGAAUAAGCACCGGCUAACUACGUGCCAGCAGCCGCGGUAAUACGUAGGGUGCGAGCGUUAAUCGGAAUUACUGGGCGUAAAGCGUGCGCAGGCGGUUAUGUAAGACAGAUGUGAAAUCCCCGGGCUCAACCUGGGAACUGCAUUUGUGACUGCAUGGCUAGAGUACGGUAGAGGGGGAUGGAAUUCCGCGUGUAGCAGUGAAAUGCGUAGAUAUGCGGAGGAACACCGAUGGCGAAGGCAAUCCCCUGGACCUGUACUGACGCUCAUGCACGAAAGCGUGGGGAGCAAACAGGAUUAGAAACCCCUGUAGUCCCAUG
rnacentral:rRNA from 1 species